GGAAUCUUGCACAAUGGAGGAAACUCUGAUGCAGCGAUGCCGCGUGAGUGAAGAAGGCCUUUGGGUUGUAAAGCUCUUUUGUAGGGGAAGAUAAUGACUGUACCCUAAGAAUAAGGUCCGGCUAACUUCGUGCCAGCAGCCGCGGUAAUACGAAGGGACUUAGCGUAGUUCGGAAUUACUGGGCGUAAAGCGCGCGUAGGCCGUUGAGUUAGUUAAUUGUGAAAUCCCAAAGCUUAACUUUGGAACUGCAAUUAAAACUGCUCGACUAGAGUUUGAUAGAGGAAAGCGGAAUACAUAGUGUAGAGGUGAAAUUCGUAGAUAUUAUGUAGAACACCAGUUGCGAAGGCGGCUUUCUGGAUCAACACUGACGCUGAGGCGCGAAAGUAUGGGUAGCAAAGAGGAUUAGAUACCCUCGUAGUCCAUACCAUAAACGAUGAUUGCUAGAUGUUGGAAAUUUAUUUUCAGUAUCGCAGCUAACGCAUUAAGCAAUCCGCCUGGGGAGUACGACCGCAAGGUUAAAACUCAAAUGAAUUGACGG
rnacentral:rRNA from 1 species